rnacentral:rRNA from 1 species
UACAGAGGUCCCAAGCGUUGUUCGGAUUCACUGGGCGUAAAGGGUGCGUAGGUGGUGAGGUAAGUCGGAUGUGAAAGCUCCGGGCUCAACCCGGAAAUGGCAUUGGAAACUGCCUUGCUAGAGGUUUUGAGGGGGGACUGGAAUGCUUGGUGUAGCAGUGAAAUGCGUAGAUAUCAAGCGGAACACCAGUGGCGAAGGCGAGUCCCUGGAAAACACCUGACACUGAGGCACGAAAGCUAGGGGAGCAAACAGG